CAGCAGUGAGGAAUAUUGGUCAAUGGGCGAAAGCCUGAACCAGCCAUGCCGCGUGCAGGAUGAAUGCCCUAUGGGUUGUAAACUGCUUUUGUACAGGAAGAAUGCCCCUGACGUGUCAGGGAUUGACUGUACUGUACGAAUAAGCAUCGGCUAACUCCGUGCCAGCAGCCGCGGUAAUACGGAGGAUGCAAGCGUUAUCCGGAUUCACUGGGUUUAAAGGGUGCGUAGGCGGAAUAAUAAGUCGACGGUGAAAGCCUGCAGCUUAACUGUAGAAUUGCCAUCGAUACUGUUAUUCUUGAGUACAUUUGAGGUGAGCGGAAUGUGUAAUGUAGCGGUGAAAUGCGUAGAUAUUACACAGAACACCAAUUGUGAAAACAGCUCACUAAACUGUCACUGACGCUGAGGCACGAAAGCGUGGGUAGCAAACAGGAUUAGAUACCCUGGUAGUCCACGCUGUAAACUAUGAUCACUCGCUGUUGGCGAUACAUUGUCAGCGGCUAAACGAAAGCAUUAAGUGAUCCACCUGGGGAGUACGUCCGCAAGAAUGAAACUCAAAGGAAUUGACGGGGGCCCGCACAAGCGGAGGAACAUGUGGUUUAAUUUGAUGAUACGCGAGGAACCUUACCUGGGCUUAAAUGCAGAGCGAUCGGCCGGGAAACCGGCCUUCCUUCGGGCGAUCUGCAAGGUGCUGCACGGUUGUCGUCAGCUCGUGCCGUGAGGUGUCGGGUUAAGUCCCAUAACGAGCGCAACCCCUAUUGUUAGUUGCCAGCGAGUAAUGUCGGGGACUCUAACGAAACUGCCGGUGUAAACCGAGAGGAAGGUGGGGAUGACGUCAAAUCAGCAUGGCCCUUAUGUCCAGGGCUACACACGUGUUACAAUGGCCAGUACAAAGGGCGGCUACCAGGCAACUGGAUGCUAAUCUCUAAAACUGGUCCCAGUUCGGAUCGAAGUCUGCAAUUCGACUUCGUGAAGGUGGAUUCGCUAGUAAUCGCGCAUCAGCAAUGGCGUGGUGAUACGUUCCCGGGCCUUGUACACACCGCCCGUCAAGCCAUGGAAGCCGGGGGUACCUGAAGUCCGUAACCGAAAGGAGCGG
rnacentral:rRNA from 1 species